rnacentral:rRNA from 1 species
GUUGUAUGGUUAAGUGACUAAGCGUACACGGUGGAUGCCUUGGCAGUCAGAGGCGAUGAAAGACGUAAUAACUUGCGAUAAGCCCAGAUUAGGU